UACUCAGUACACGCACCCGGAGUGAGGUC
rnacentral:piRNA from 1 species